GGCUCAGGAUGAACGCUGGCGGCGUGCUUAACACAUGCAAGUCGAACGAUGAAGCCCAGCUUGCUGGGUGGAUUAGUGGCGAACGGGUGAGUAACACGUGAGUAACCUGCCCUUAACUCUGGGAUAAGCCUGGGAAACUGGGUCUAAUACCGGAUAGGAGCGUCCACCGCAUGGUGGGUGUUGGAAAGAUUUAUCGGUUUUGGAUGGACUCGCGGCCUAUCAGCUUGUUGGUGAGGUAAUGGCUCACCAAGGCGACGACGGGUAGCCGGCCUGAGAGGGUGACCGGCCACACUGGGACUGAGACACGGCCCAGACUCCUACGGGAGGCAGCAGUGGGGAAUAUUGCACAAUGGGCGCAAGCCUGAUGCAGCGACGCCGCGUGAGGGAUGACGGCCUUCGGGUUGUAAACCUCUUUCAGUAGGGAAGAAGCGAAAGUGACGGUACCUGCAGAAGAAGCACCGGCUAACUACGUGCCA
rnacentral:rRNA from 1 species